rnacentral:piRNA from 1 species
UGACAAUUGCAUUUGUCCAUUCCAGGGGGA